rnacentral:rRNA from 1 species
GACGAACGCUGGCGGCGUGCUUAACACAUGCAAGUCGAACGGAAAGGCCCUGCUUUUGUGGGGUGCUCGAGUGGCGAACGGGUGAGUAACACGUGAGUAACCUGCCCUUGACUUUGGGAUAACUUCAGGAAACUGGGGCUAAUACCGGAUAGGAGCUCCUGCUGCAUGGUGGGGGUUGGAAAGUUUCGGCGGUUGGGGAUGGACUCGCGGCUUAUCAGCUUGUUGGUGGGGUAGUGGCUUACCAAGGUUUUGACGGGUAGCCGGCCUGGGAGGGUGACCGGCCACAUGGGGACUGAGAUACGGCCCAGACUCCUACGGGAGGCAGCAGUGGGGAAUAUUGCACAAUGGGCGGAAGCCUGAUGCAGCAACGCCGCGUGCGGGAUGACGGCCUUCGGGUUGUAAACCGCUUUCGCCUGUGACGAAGCGUGAGUGACGGUAAUGGGUAAAGAAGCACCGGCUAACUACGUG